rnacentral:tRNA from 1 species
GCCUAGGUGGCUCAGUGGUUGAGCAUCUGCUUUUGGCUUAGGUCAUGAUAUUGGGGUUGUGGGAUGGAGUCCCACAUUGGGCU